GAGUAUGGUAUCGCAAAUUAAGUGAAAGAAGGGGUAUUUUGGUACCAAAUGUGCUAUAUAAAUAAAACUGUGCCUCCACUUGGAAAGCGAGUCUGAAAUUAGGGGUGAGCGGAGCAGAGGAGUUUCCGUUAUCCAUUAUCUUUCUCUAUCUAGCAAUAGCCAUCUCUCAUCUCUCUCUAGAAAUUCUCAGAUAAUCUCUUAUCUUUCGAAAUCAAAUUAAUUAGGGUUUUUGCGAAUCUCUCUUGUUCGAAUUUGAAUCCCUGUGUUUUGCAGCCAUGGUUUCCGAUUCGAUCAACGCUUCCAUUCCUUAUGCUCCUAAGGAUUUCGGCAAGAAGAAGAAGGCGAACCGUUCUGCCAAACUGAAGCAGUGCAAGCUUGAUGCUCGUCGCGAGCAAUGGCUAUCUCAAGUUGCAGUUAAGAACAAAGGAAGCAAGGAGGAACCGAGUGGCCAACAAGUGUCCCCGUGCGACAACGAGAGAAAGAAUGCUACAGAGAAUUUGGAGACGAAGCGAAGAGGAAGAGGAGAUGAAGAUGAGAAGGAAAAUGGUACGAUCUAUCACGAUUUCGAUUCUGACUCCCCUUCCCACAGUCCGGCUGGCAGCAGCGUUCUCAGCGGCACCGAUGCUGGCACCAAUUUCUCGGGCUCCUCCCGCAGCAGCAGUAGUAGCAGCAGUGGUGGCUGUUGCUCUGGCAGCAUUACAGAGGAGGAAGAAGAAGCGGAUGAUGAUUGCUUGGACGAUUGGGAGGCUGUGGCCGAUGCUUUAGCUGCCAAUGAUGAUAACAAGCAAGAAAAUCGAAACGACAAUCCGUGUCCAUGCCUGGUGACGGAGUCCUCCCUGCAAAUUGAACAUGGUGUUCGAUCAGAUUCUAGUUCCAAUAAUUUGGGUUCUACUUGUGAGGAUUUGAAGCAAGAGGGCCCAAGAAAGGCACUACCUAGACUGUCUCCUGGGAAUAGCCGGGCGUGGAGGCCGGAUGAUGCAUUUCGCCCACAGAGUCUGCCUAAUUUGUCAAAGCAGCGGAGCUUUCCAAAUGCAGAGGGGCAUCGUGGACAGGGUGGAUUCCCGUGGCAUUGUUCAAAAGCUGUUAACGUGCCUUCUUCCUGCCCUAUAUGUUGCGAGGAAUUGGAUGUCACAGAUACGAGUUUCUUGCCCUGCAUAUGCGGAUAUCGGCUUUGCCUCUUUUGUUACAAUAGAAUACUGCACGUGGAGGAUGGGCGCUGUCCAGGUUGUAGGAAGAACUAUGAGGGCAAUGCUGAGGAGGCAGAGCUGAGCGUGAAUGGAGGUAGCCUGAGUUUUAGGUUGUCUCGUUCUUAUAGCAUGGUCGCUAGGUCUUAGGAGGAUGAACCUAUGUUUUGUUGAAUUACAUAUGUUGGGUUUAUCGCUUCCCUUUAUCUCGACUUGCAUGUUCUGUUUUAGACUCAGUUUCGUAGAUACUUCUUGUUGCGGGGGUAUAGCUGGUUGUCUUUUGGCACCCGGAAUUGAUUUACUUAUCGUAUGGGCUUUGUUCUUAUCUGUUUGGUGCAUAUGUUGAUGUAGGGAACUCAAUGUUUUGGUCUGUGAAUACAUAAGGCGGUAUAGAAAUACAUAAAAAAAAUUUACAAUAUGUUAUUCUCUCUUUUGUUUUAAUCCUUUUUUAGAUUACUUUAUCCUUAAUUCUUUUCAGUUGAUUUGACCAUGUUGAUUGGUAAUUGAUUUUGUAGAGGACCCUUAUCUUAGAAGUUUUAGGGAUAGGUUGAUUUCUAGUUUAUUGCUUUUAUCACAGUGCAUGUCUUGAACUCCUGAAUCUUGAUACUUCAUAAUUAUAUUUUUGGAGUUGGACGCACCAACUCUUAUACUGGUGUCUGUCUUUCACAUAAAUGGAACUUAUCUUCAUGUUCUUUUGAUUUGGGUUCCAAUUGUUGAAUUUUGAAAAAAUCAAAGGAAAUUUUUGAGCCUAAAAUAUUUGUCGUGGUUUUUAUCUGGUGGGCAUUGAUUUGAUAAGUUUGAGCCUCAUUUCUUGAUGUUGCUUUUCAAUUUAUGUUUAUGACUAGUGUUCUCAUUCGUAAUGUAAAGUUCUCUUGUAACUUUGACAUUUGUUUGUUUGUCACUGUGCAUGAAAGGGAGAAAAUGUCUCUACACAGGCUGAAAGUCAUUUUUAAUGUUUUUCAUAUGCAUUCAUUGUUCAGGCAUUUAUUCUUUGUGUAUUUUAUAUCACCAUAGAUACUUUAGAUGCUUCAACUUUAGACUUUCUAGUUAAGGGUAACAUUAAUAUAAUCUCUUGUAGCAUGUGGUUUUCAUCAUGCCGCUGAUUAAAUUCGAAGGAUGAGGAUGAAAACUUGUUUAAAGAUGACUUUAAAUGCUAAGGAAGAAUUUCCAUUUCAAUUACUCUUUUGAAAUAUUUGGUUAAGGUAUGCUUAUGAUUUUUCUUUGUUCUUUGGAAGUCCUUAUUACAAUUUGAACUAUUUAAGGGGGCAUUUACGUAUCUACAUCCUGAAAUCUUUCCUUAACUGAACGGUGGGGAUCUUUAUUCAUUUUGCACUGGUAAUUAUUGUCUAUACUGUACUUGUGGUGCUGUUGCGGUAAUCAUUAUAUCCUUUCCCGGGUGAAGUUAUUUUAAAUGGCUAUUUUAUUGGUUUUUUCUUUUGUUGAUGGUUCCCGUGCUUGUGAAAUAACUUCAUUGAAAUACUUGGAUAUAAAUGAUUAGCCUUUUUUUGUCUGGUUUUAUCCUCAUAAGUCAUAACUAUGAGCAGACUGAUUGAGUGCAUGGAGUUUUAGUGUAUCAUGCAUGACGCAUGGUAAGUUAACAAAUCCACACAGACAUUAUUACAUCUUUGAGUCUUGGAUAACAUGUACUGGCAAA
rnacentral:misc_RNA from 1 species